rnacentral:rRNA from 1 species
CAGCAGCCGCGGUAAUGCGGAGGGGGCUAGCGUUGUUCGGAAUUACUGGGCGUAAAGCGCACGUAGGCGGCUUGGUAAGUUAGAGGUGAAAGCCCGGAGCUCAACUCCGGAAUUGCCUUUAAGACUGCCGAGCUAGUAGGUGAGAGAGGUAAGUGGAAUUCCGAGUGUAGAGGUGAAAUUCGUAGAUAUUCGGAAGAACACCAGUGGCGAAGGCGGCUUACUGGCUCAUUCUAGACGCUGAGGUGCGAAAGCGUGGGGAGCAAACAGGAUUAGAUACCCGCGUAGUCCCUGUCUCUUAUAC